GACAAACUGCAGGAGGGGAAUAUCUGAAUCUCUAGGGUUCUGUGAAUUACUCAACCUCUCACAAUCAUAAGAAUGACUGAAAGCAAGAACAAGAGACUGAACACAUUAUACAAACAUAUGCCCACAGAACUCUGACUUGCAACUUUUGUAACAGCACAGGAAUCCAAACCAGCCUCUACAGUAGCCAGGCCAGGAAGUCAAACCAUAACCUCUGCAGCAAUUGACUCAGAGUAGUCAGGACUUGGUCACUGAUUUCCAGCUUCCAUAUUUUUUGCCCCUUCUUCCAAUUGGAGAAAACCAAAUACAUUCCUCAAAAUCAAUCGCAUAAGAUACUCCACUUUGGGUUAGACUGCUUCUGGCUUCCCAAACAACUUCUAGUCAGAGCAUAACUGAAGCCAUCUUCCUUCUGCACUAUAAAGCUUUCCUACCAUUCUGCCUGCCUUUGAGUCUCUGCCAGACACAAAGUGAGGGGAGCUGACCACCUACUUCAGCAAGUUCUGAGCAAGUAUAUCAAGAAUGGAAGAAACCCUGGAAAAAUGAUCAAGACUUGUUCUGUUUCCUAACAGAAGGAAGAAUACUGUGCAGUCAUUUAGGGCUGAGAAGUCAAGCAGCCAUCAGCUGGGACACUCAAAAUGCAGAGCCUGCAGAGAGGCCUGCUGAGCUGGGAAAAUGGUCACUCCUGUCAGAGAGGCCACUGCAGUAGAAGCCUGCUCACCACCACAAAAAAUAGCUCCCACUUGCUCCACAAGAGAAAAGUCCACGUAGAAAUGAAGACCCAAUGCCGCCA
ensembl:lncRNA